GGCUCCGUGGUGAAGUUCAUGUUGAGUUGCAAGCUCAUCGAUGUAUGCUGACGGCGUACCGGGGCCU
rnacentral:tRNA from 1 species